GAUGAACGCUGGCGGCGUGCCUAAUACAUGCAAGUCGAGCGAACAGACGAGGAGCUUGCUCCUCUGACGUUAGCGGCGGACGGGUGAGUAACACGUGGAUAACCUACCUAUAAGACUGGGAUAACUUCGGGAAACCGGAGCUAAUACCGGAUAAUAUAUUGAACCGCAUGGUUCAAUAGUGAAGGACGGUUUUGCUGUCACUUAUAGAUGGAUCCGCGCCGCAUUAGCUAGUUGGUAAGGUAACGGCUUACCAAGGCGACGAUGCGUAGCCGACCUGAGAGGGUGGUCGGCCACACUGGAACUGAGACACGGUCCAGACUCCUACGGGAGGCAGCAGUAGGGAAUCUUCCGCAAUGGGCGAAAGCCUGACGGAGCAGCGCCGCGUGAGUGAUGAAGGUCUUCGGAUCGUAAAACUCUGUUAUUAGGGAAGAACAAAUGUGUAAGUAACUAUGCACGUCUUGACGGUACCUAAUCAGAAAGCCACGGCUAACUACGUG
rnacentral:rRNA from 1 species